AGAUAGCGCAACUCGUUUCCGUAUCCGUCCUUUUACUGGCGGUACACUAAUCAAGCAAAAUGACGGAGGGUGCAGUUACGAUUAGAACCAGGAAGUUCAUGAGCAAUCGGCUACUAUGCCGAAAACAAAUGGUCGUGGAUGUUUUCCACCCAGGUCACCCAUCUGUCCGUAAAACAGAAAUCCGGGAAAAACUAGCCAAAAUGUACAAAGUUACACCAGAUGUGGUCUUUGUAUUUGGUUUCCUAACAAAUUUUGGUGGUGGCAAAUCAACUGGAUUUGCAUUGAUUUAUGAUACAUUGGACUUCGCAAAGAAAUUUGAACCUAAAUACAGGUUAGCUAGGCAUGGACUGUAUGAGAAACAAAAGCAAACAAGGAAACAACGUAAAGAACGUAAGAAUAGGAUGAAGAAAGUUAGGGGUACAAAGAAGAGUAAAGUAGGAGCUGCUUCUAAAAAGGGAAGGAAGUAGUCAAAUGCUCAUCAUUUGUACUACAAACUUCAAGAAGGAACUUAAUUAUGAUGCUCAUACAUGUAAAAUGAAAAGACAUCAUGAAGGCCACACAUUGUUCAACAUCGGCGUAAAAAUUAUUAUAAUAAUUUAUUAUUACAACAUGAUGAUUAUGAUAAAUUUUACGGAAUAAACGUGUAUUCUUCUUGAUGAAAAAUA